rnacentral:rRNA from 1 species
AACGAACGCUGGCGGCAGGCCUAACACAUGCAAGUCGAGCGAGACCUUCGGGUCUAGCGGCGGACGGGUUAGUAACGCGUGGGAACGUGCCCUUCUCUGCGGAAUAGCCACUGGAAACGGUGAGUAAUACCGCAUACGCCCUUCGGGGGAAAGAUUUAUCGGAGAAGGAUCGGCCCGCGUUAGAUUAGGUAGUUGGUGGGUAACGGCCUACCAAGUCUACGAUCUAUAGCUGGUUUUAGAGGAUGAUCAGCAACACUGGGACUGAGACACGGCCCAGACUCCUACGGGAGGCAGCAGUGGGGAAUCUUAGACAAUGGGCGCAAGCCUGAUCUAGCCAUGCCGCGUGUGUGAUGAAGGUCUUAGGAUCGUAAAGCACUUUCGCCAGGGAUGAUAAUGACAGUACCUGGUAAAGAAACCCCGGCUAACUCCGUG